AGGGAACAGUCAGUCCAUGCUUUUGAAAAGACAAAAAGGGGUUAACCUGCUAGCAGAGUUCAGCGCUAAUUUUAAACAAAUUUAUUAGAUUUUUGUUUUAGAUAUGGUAGUGUUCCCGAUCUAUGGAAUAGACCUGUAAUUAUUAAUCCUUUUCCUAAUUGAUCUAACAUGGUAGACGCAAAAGACCCCGUUGUUAUGGAGGGAUCGACAUUGCAGCAGUGUCUUACACAUUGUACUGUAUUAUACUGAACGAUAGAUAAGCUCAGUGGGUAGAUGAUAACAAUGUUCGGGCUGAAAAACAGAAUAGUUUGCGGCAACAACAUAGACCAAUCAUCUAUCCUUAAUAAUUUUAUUGAUGUUAGAAAAAAAAAC
rnacentral:lncRNA from 1 species